GAUGAACGCUGGCGGCGUGCCUAAUACAUGCAAGUCGAGCGAAUGGAUUAAGAGCUUGCUCUUAUGAAGUUAGCGGCGGACGGGUGAGUAACACGUGGGUAACCUGCCCAUAAGACUGGGAUAACUCCGGGAAACCGGGGCUAAUACCGGAUAAUAUUUUGAACUGCAUGGUUCAAAAUUGAAAGGCGGCUUCGGCUGUCACUUAUGGAUGGACCCGCGUCGCAUUAGCUAGUUGGUGAGGUAACGGCUCACCAAGGCAACGAUGCGUAGCCGACCUGAGAGGGUGAUCGGCCACACUGGGACGGAGACACGGCCCAGACUCCUACGGGAGGCAGCAGGAGGGAAUCUUCCGCAAUGGACGAAAGUCGGACGGAGCAACGCCGCGUGAGUGAUGAAGGCUUUCGGGUCGUAAAACUCUGUUGUUAGGGAAGAACAAGUGCUAGUUGAAUAAGCUGGCACCUUGACGGUACCUAACCAGAAAGCCACGGCUAACUACGUGCCAGCAGCCGCAGUAA
rnacentral:rRNA from 1 species